CCUACGGGAGGCAGCAGUGGGGGAUAUUGCACAAUGGGGGGAACCCUGAUGCAGCGACGCCGCGUGGGUGAAGAAGCGCCUCGGCGCGUAAAGCCCUGUCAGCAGGGAAGAAAAUGACGGUAACUUAAGAAGAAGCCCCGGCUAACUACGUGCCAGCAGCCGCGGUAAUACGUAGGGGGCAAGCGUUAUCCGGAUUUACUGGGUGUAACGGGGGCGCAGACGGCGAUGCAAGCCAGGAGGGAAAGCCCGGGGCCCAACCCCGGGACUGCUCUUGGAACUGCGUGGCUGGAGUGCAGGAGGGGCAGGCGGAAUUCCUGGUGUAGCGGUGAAAUGCGUAGAUAUCAGGAGGAACACCGGUGGCGAAGGCGGCCUGCUGGACUGCAACUGACGUUGAGGCCCGAAAGCGUGGGGAGCAAACAGGAUUAGAUACCCGGGUAGUC
rnacentral:rRNA from 1 species